AACCUAGCACACCUGCGGUGUGUACCUGCGGAGGGAUCAUUAACCUUUCAAAUCAGGGUGCGGCGCGGCCCCCGAGGAGCGGAAACAAUCCUUGGGAGGUAUGCGGGGGCUUCGAGCCCCCCAUUUACGCACGCACGACUGCCAUCCUUACUUUACGAGCACCUUCUGUUCUCCCUCGGCGGGGCAACCUGCCGUUGGAACCGAAUAAACUCUUUUUGCAUCUAGCAUUACCCGUUCCGA
rnacentral:misc_RNA from 1 species